UUACUGUUAUCGCGGAAUUAGAGUGCGUUUUCUCAGGACCCUGAAAUUUCAAAUUGUCCCGCCAAACGGCCCCAUGUAAAGUAAAAUUUUGCUCGUUUUGGGUCAUUAAGUGCUUAUAACUUUUUGAAAACUCAAUGGAUCUUAAUGAAACUCUUCCACUUUGUAUCCUAAUUGAGAUGCGUCCGUAGACACCAAGAUCGUAGGAAUCCGUGCCGUCGUUUGGGCUGCAGUCGAAUGGGAACCGAAUCAAUUUUCAGAUUAAGGGAGUUGCCUGUGACUAAGAGUGUCGGCCACCCUUUGCUAUCGGGACUUUAGUAGGACGUCAUUUUUCUCGACCGGGGGUGGCUAUCGCCACUCUUGACAUAUUAUGUUUUUUUGCAGAACGAAGGAGAUACGAAUUGCCCCAAACAUAAGAACAUUGAUAGUGCCCCAAACGAAACCACCUUAUUUGCAGAUAAGCGUACCAGAAGGGUCACUUCAAAUCGUGUUCCUGACACCAUCGGGGAAACUUACUGCCUUACAGAGGAACGCAUGCCAGGCGUUCCCAUCAAGUUAUAUGAACAUAAUAAAACGAUUUAUUGAACAAUACAGAGGAAGGGGCGAUAUGGAAGGACGAGUCACGUUACUAUGUAAUAAUGAGUCGACCCGAUAAGAAGAAACUGAAAGAGCACAUUGUUAAUAUUCUGGCAACGCUGAAAGUAAACGACAGCAUGUGCCCUUCCAAGGAACUCUAUUACGUUAGUAACGGGGACCCAUCUUGGGAUCAUUCCCACUUGAUGGGGGCGGUAUUAACUCAGUACAUUAUUGCCGCGACAAAGAAGUUUCUUCCGGCCCAAGAGGAUCCUACCAGCGAAACGCAGGCAUGUGGUGGCUCGAGAGAAGUGAAGGCUCAGAGUCGGGGGGGGGGGGGGGGGGACGCGCAAUAGCGAAACGGUACAAUCCCAGCAGGCCUAAUACAAUUGGCAUUGGAGGGCGAAGACUCAAACGAGAGUAUGUUACCAAACACUCACGAAGGCACUACCACACCAAAACGAAAGGUAAGUUAUUCCAUGAAAAUCAUUCAACGUUGCAUCAGUGAACAUAUCUAUCAGAGGUAACAAGGACGCGUAUGAAGAGUGAAACAACUCGAAGGAAAACAUUAAAGAGAUAGGGGAAACCAAGGUGGUUAUCGCUGAAACGAGGGGGCCACAUUUCAUAAUCACGUAACCAGAGGGUUGCGGAUCAGCAUUCAUGCUGGAACAUCACAUACGAAUGAACGUAGACACGUAGUAUAUGUUUUGCAUUAUCGGAAAAAAACACGAUAAUUCAUCCUGUAAAAUAACGGUGAGUACCUAACAGCACCCCAGCAUAAUCAUCUGACGGUGGAUUAACAAAAUGGACCACGCCGCAACAUUCAGAUGGAAAACUCGUACUCUGUACAGGCGAAAAAAUGUACUCGUAUAUUACAUGUAAAAUUACUUUAAAUUUCAGAUACGGGAUCGUGCAUAAUUGAACAGCUUGUACCGGCAGCCACCAAACGACAACCAGCUUCUACCUCAGCGACCCGCGGUAAGGGAAAAAGAAUUCCACUCACUCCCAUCAUUAAUUAGCAUAUUGACAAGAAGAAUCACAGAUAGGGAGCUCCCUUUAUUCAUGAUACCGUAUGUUACUUUGAAUUAGCACAUUUUAUAGAUUAACACGCGGCUGGGUGUUGAUCAGCAGUUAUGUGGUAGGUAUAAUCUUCCCAGAAGAGAUGGACGCAAUAGACUAAGAUAUAUCAUAUAAAUACAUAGUAGAGGAAAGUGAAAGAUUCAGUACCCACCGUGGAACUUACCCGUUUCAGCAACGCGAGGUAAAUUCACGUUCCCAAACUUCAACUAUCGUUUCGCUCGGGGGGGAGGGGGAGGGGGUCCAGCCCUACGGGUCAAUUAAUCGGGGGGGAUCUAUUUUGUGUGGGGGAAAACAAUAAAUGGUGAUUUGAACACCAUACGGAAAAUUCGUAUAGUGUAAAUGUUAUCAGUGUAUAUUCGGAUGUUUGAUAUUGAGAAUUUUUUUAAUUUUAGGAAAAAGCCAGACGACACGGAAGGCAGGUCAAGAAACAUUACAUGAGACCGAAGUGUCCAACCCACCAAAGGUACUACCUACACGAGGCAGGAGUCACGAGAAAAGACUAAAACCCCAGAAGGCAGGCGUAGAAAAAUUAAAGGAACCUGAGAUGCCAGCCCCUACAACAAUACCAUCAAAAAGAGGCAGGAGCCGCCGCCCAGCAACCCAGGCGACUAUCCAUGGUAAGACAAAAAUAAAAGUCACCCGCGUUUAAUUAUAAAUCAAUAUAAGAAGAAUACCUGUCGCAAUUUCUUUCCCAUCAUUUUGACCUCGUUUAAUAAUAUAUUUAUAUAAGAUAAUCGCGCCCGCCGGUUCAACACUCAAACGAAUACUGAUCAGCAAUAACGACGUGGUUCAAUUUUAAACGUCACGUUCCCAGGUGAACUGGAAGCGUGAACUUUCAGGCAACUCCUAUUUCUCCUCCUACGAUACGCCCCCAUCUUAAACUGGAUAAUAAUUACCAUGCAGGAACACACCCCGCUCCUACAUUCCAAUUUCCCUUUAUUUGUAUCAUUUUAGAGGUAUCCCGCCCGGCAAAACGUGUGCGAAAACGUUGAAAAAACAUCGUGACAACGUCCUGUCCUUAAGUAACGUUGCUACAACCCUGUGACGACGUUUUUUCACACGUUUUGCCGGGCGGGAUGCGUUAAUCCAAUAGCAACCAGCUCUACUGAUAACACAUAAACCUUCGUGAUCGAUCCCAAACAAAAACAAACCGGACCGGAAAGUAAGUAUUUCUUCGGUGGAAUCCCUCGAUAUAUGUAAAAUUAUGUUGUUUAAAUAUAAUUAUCAGCAACGAUGCCUUCUAGAGAGAGAGGAUAAGAAACGGAAAAGGCCAACAGAGAGGGGAUAUUCCCGCAAAAGAAAAAAAGACCAACCCUCACAGUCUCGAGCACAACCCUAAUACGAGAGUCGAGAACAAAUCGAGGUUAGUAUGUCGGAAGCUGAAAAGUAAAUACCCUCAAAACUAGGGGACUAUACAAAAAAAACUUGUCAGCCAACAAGCGAAAAGAAAACAUAAUAAUAUGAAAUCUAUCUCCUCGAAUUAGAUGGAUCUGAUUCUUACCGGUAACAGUUGAUCAUCUUAAAUCUACCCCAUUAAGAUGAAAAUACUAUCACAUGCAUGUUUCUUUUUUCUUUUCCUUUAUUUCAAAUAUUUUCUCUCUCACACAAAAUUUUGCCUGAUCUAUCCAGUUGCUGAUGACCCGAAAGGGGUAUGCCGGAACCAAGAGAAACCAAUAGGGGAGACACCGUUGGAGAAUAAGGAAGAUGCUCCAGAAGUACCCAUGAACCUCGUCAUUCCUCCACUAGAACCGUCAGAUGAAAACAUCCCAUCAUCGAAUGUUGGAACAGAAGGUAUUUAACAGACAAAUGAUUUUUUCAUCGGUCCCGUCAUAAGUUCCUCUACUGUUUAAGGGACCCCCCAUCUUCCCUCUUUUUUCUUGCUCUAAAGAUAUUAACGUUUCUAUCAACCCCCUUACACGGGUAGCCUCCAUCCCUAUUUUAAUCGAUCGACAGAUGCAUCGACAGAAUGGACUAUGGUAAUUCGUAUAUAUUAAUCAACUAUAUAUCGACUGACAUUAAUAUUCUCCUAGGACGUAAAUAUUUUGUGGACGCGAAGUAGGCACGGGCUCCCAACUUAUAGUCUCAAUCCUGAGAAUGCUGAUCAGCAUCCAUAACAUGUCAAAUGAAAUUUUGCCCAUAUAGGCAGCAACAUGGUACCCAGAGUAUGCACGGGAUGGAACUUUUGAUGGGUUUUGUUUUUCUUUUCUUUUACUCUGAUACCAACGACGCAGAUUUUAGACGAAUCUCUGAUUAACCGGCAAUUGAACGAAUCAGCCAACGCAUCAUAACCCGAUAAAAAUAAUGCCUGGAAAAUUGAAAAAGAAAUGAAAUCAUUUAAUGAAAAAGGAAUAUGGAUCCAGUUCGAUGACGACAUCGACCACUCGUGUAUUCCACGGAUUAUCAAGGCAAAUCCGCGAGUUAUUUAUA
rnacentral:lncRNA from 1 species